CUACGGGACGCAGCAGUGAGGAAUUUUGCGCAAUGGGGGGAACCCUGAUGCAGCAACGCCGCGUGGAGGAUGACGCAUUUCGGUGUGUAAACUCCUUUUAUAUGUCAAGAAAAUGACGGUAGCAUAUGAAUAAGCACCGGCUAACUCCGUGCCAGCAGCCGCGGUAAUACGGAGGGUGCAAGCGUUACUCGGAAUCACUGGGCGUAAAGGACGCGUAGGCGGGUUGGAAAGUAAGGUAUGAAAUCCUACAGCUUAACUGUAGAACUGCACUUGAAACUUCUAAUCUAGAGUAUGGGAGGGGGAGAUGGAAUUAGUGGUGUAGGGGUAAAAUCCGUAGAUAUCACUAGGAAUACCUAAAGCGAAGGCGAUCUCCUGGAACAUUACUGACGCUAAGGCGUGAAAGCGUGGGGAGCAAACAGGAUUAGAUACCCUUGUAGUC
rnacentral:rRNA from 1 species